GCCUGGGUGGCUCAAUCGGUUAAGCGCCUGACUUCAGUUCAGGUCUUGAUCUCCUGGUUCGUGGGUUCGGGCCCCGCGUCGGGCU
rnacentral:tRNA from 1 species